UCUACAGAAAAAGAAAAACAAAACUGUUCUGGUCGAAACACAAGUUAUGCAGUUUCAUCCCUCAGAUGUAUUUUAAAUCUGUGUUUCCGGUUCUGAGGAAACUGGAGAAGGCAGAGUGUAAAGGGGAGCCGACAGAUCGAGGCUAGAGUAUCGAAGUGACAGGAAAUAGUAGCAAUCCUUUUUACAUUCUAUAUGAAACCAUGGACCAUACCACCAGCUCUAAAAGAUGCCAAAGAAGGUUGUGCAAGAGGCAGCUGGUUAGAAGCGAGGGACCAGACAGCUCCCAGUGCGACCCAGCCCAGAAACCUCCAGAGAAGAGAUCUAGAGCUAGU